GAUCAUGGCUCAGAUUGAACGCUGGCGGCAGGCUUAACACAUGCAAGUCGAGCGGAGAUGAGGUGCUUGCACCUUAUCUUAGCGGCGGACGGGUGAGUAAUGCUUAGGAAUCUGCCUAUUAGUGGGGGACAACAUUCCGAAAGGAAUGCUAAUACCGCAUACGCCCUACGGGGGAAAGCAGGGGAUCUUCGGACCUUGCGCUAAUAGAUGAGCCUAAGUCGGAUUAGCUAGUUGGUGGGGUAAAGGCCUACCAAGGCGACGAUCUGUAGCGGGUCUGAGAGGAUGAUCCGCCACACUGGGACUGAGACACGGCCCAGACUCCUACGGGAGGCAGCAGUGGGGAAUAUUGGACAAUGGGCGGAAGCCUGAUCCAGCCAUGCCGCGUGUGUGAAGAAGGCCUUUUGGUUGUAAAGCACUUUAAGCGAGGAGGAGGCUACUUAGAUUAAUACUCUAGGAUAGUGGACGUUACUCGCAGAAUAAGCACCGGCUAACUCUGUGCCAGCAGCCGCGGUAAUACAGAGGGUGCGAGCGUUAAUCGGAUUUACUGGGCGUAAAGCGUGCGUAGGCGGCUGAUUAAGUCGGAUGUGAAAUCCCUGAGCUUAACUUAGGAAUUGCAUUCGAUACUGGUCAGCUAGAGUAUGGGAGAGGAUGGUAGAAUUCCAGGUGUAGCGGUGAAAUGCGUAGAGAUCUGGAGGAAUACCGAUGGCGAAGGCAGCCAUCUGGCCUAAUACUGACGCUGAGGUACGAAAGCAUGGGGAGCAAACAGGAUUAGAUACCCUGGUAGUCCAUGCCGUAAACGAUGUCUACUAGCCGUUGGGGCCUUUGAGGCUUUAGUGGCGCAGCUAACGCGAUAAGUAGACCGCCUGGGGAGUACGGUCGCAAGACUAAAACUCAAAUGAAUUGACGGGGGCCCGCACAAGCGGUGGAGCAUGUGGUUUAAUUCGAUGCAACGCGAAGAACCUUACCUGGCCUUGACAUAGUAAGAACUUUCCAGAGAUGGAUUGGUGCCUUCGGGAACUUACAUACAGGUGCUGCAUGGCUGUCGUCAGCUCGUGUCGUGAGAUGUUGGGUUAAGUCCCGCAACGAGCGCAACCCUUUUCCUUAUUUGCCAGCGAGUAAUGUCGGGAACUUUAAGGAUACUGCCAGUGACAAACUGGAGGAAGGCGGGGACGACGUCAAGUCAUCAUGGCCCUUACGGCCAGGGCUACACACGUGCUACAAUGGUCGGUACAAAGGGUUGCUACCUAGCGAUAGGAUGCUAAUCUCAAAAAGCCGAUCGUAGUCCGGAUUGGAGUCUGCAACUCGACUCCAUGAAGUCGGAAUCGCUAGUAAUCGCGGAUCAGAAUGCCGCGGUGAAUACGUUCCCGGGCCUUGUACACACCGCCCGUCACACCAUGGGAGUUUGUUGCACCAGAAGUAGGUAGUCUAACCGCAAGGAGGA
rnacentral:rRNA from 1 species